rnacentral:rRNA from 1 species
UACGGGGGGGGCAAGCGUUGUUCGGAAUUACUGGGCGUAAAGGGCUCGUAGGUGGCCAACUAAGUCAGACGUGAAAUCCCUCGGCUUAACCGGGGAACUGCGUCUGAUACUGGAUGGCUUGAGUUCGGGAGAGGGAUGCGGAAUUCCAGGUGUAGCGGUGAAAUGCGCAGAUAUCAGGAGGAACACCGGUGGCGAAGGUGGGUCUCUGGGCCGAUAUUGACGCUGAGGAGCGAAAGCGUGGGGAGCAAACAGG